rnacentral:rRNA from 1 species
AUUGAACGCUGGCGGCAGGCUUAACACAUGCAAGUCGAACGGUAGCAGGAGAAAGCUUGCUUUCUUGCUGACGAGUGGCGGACGGGUGAGUAAUGCUUGGGAAUCUGGCUUAUGGAGGGGGAUAACUACGGGAAACUGUAGCUAAUACCGCGUAGAAUCGGAAGAUGAAAGUGCGGGACCGCAAGGCCGCAUGCCAUGAGAUGAGCCCAAGUGGGAUUAGGUAGUUGGUGGGGUAAAGGCCUACCAAGCCUGCGAUCUCUAGCUGGUCUGAGAGGAUGGCCAGCCACACUGGAACUGAGACACGGUCCAGACUCCUACGGGAGGCAGCAGUGGGGAAUAUUGCGCAAUGGUGGGAACCCUGACGCAGCCAUGCCGCGUGAAUGAAGAAGGCCUUCGGGUUGUAAAGUUCUUUCGGUAUUGAGGAAGGAGUGUAUGUUAAUAGCAUACAUUAUUGACGUAAAUCAGAGAG